UCUAGUUAGCAUUAUACCGUGAAACUGCGAAUGGCUCAUUAAAUCAGUUAUCGUUUAUUUGAUAAUACCUUACUACUUGGAUAACCGUGGUAAUUCUAGAGCUAAUACAUGCUGAAAAUCCCGACUUCGGAAGGGAUGUGUUUAUUAGAUAAAAAACCAAUGCCCUUCGGGGCUUUUUGGUGAUUCAUGAUAACUUUACGGAUCGCAUAGCCUUGCGCUGGCGACGGUUCAUUCAAAUUUCUGCCCUAUCAACUUUCGAUGGUAAGGUAUUGGCUUACCAUGGUUUCAACGGGUAACGGGGAAUUAGGGUUCGAUUCCGGAGAGGGAGCCUGAGAAACGGCUACCACAUCCAAGGAAGGCAGCAGGCGCGCAAAUUACCCAAUCCCGACACGGGGAGGUAGUGACAAUAAAUACUGAUACAGGGCUCUUUUGGGUCUUGUAAUUGGAAUGAGUACAAUUUAAACCUCUUAACGAGGAACAAUUGGAGGGCAAGUCUGGUGCCAGCAGCCGCGGUAAUUCCAGCUCCAAUAGCGUAUAUUAAAGUUGUUGCAGUUAAAAAGCUCGUAGUUGAAACUUGGGCCUGGCUGGCGGGUCCGCCUCACCGCGUGCACUCGUCCGGCCGGGCCUUCCUUCUGAAGAACCUCAUGCCCUUCACUGGGCGUGCUGGGGAAUCAGGACUUUUACUUUGAAAAAAUUAGAGUGUUCAAAGCAGGCCUUUGC
rnacentral:rRNA from 1 species